UACGUAGGGUGCAAGCGUUAAUCGGAAUUACUGGGCGUAAAGCGUGCGCAGGCGGCUAUGCAAGACAGAUGUGAAAUCCCCGGGCUCAACCUGGGAACUGCAUUUGUGACUGCAUAGCUAGAGUACGGUAGAGGGGGACGGAAUUCCGCGUGUAGCAGUGAAAUGCGUAGAUAUGCGGAGGAACACCGAUGGCGAAGGCAAUCCCCUGGACCUGUACUGACGC
rnacentral:rRNA from 1 species